rnacentral:rRNA from 1 species
GACGAACGUUGGCGGCGUGCUUAAUACAUGCAAGUCAACUGAAGCAGUGGUAGCAAUAUCGCUGUGGAGGUGGCGCACGGGUGAGUAACACGUAGGUAAUCUGCCUUCAGGUCUGGCAUAACUCCGGGAAACCGGGGCUAAUAGCAGAUGGUGCAGCGGCUCGACAUCGAGACAGUUGUUAAAGCUAUGGCGCCUGAAGAUGAGCCUGCGUCUGAUUAGCUAGUUGGCGGGGUAACGGCCCACCAAGGCAACGAUCAGUAGCUGGUCUGAGAGGAUGAUCAGGCACACUGGAACGGAGCAACGGUCCAGACUCCGACGGGAGGCAGCAGUAAGGAAUAUUGCUCAAUGGGAGAAAUCCUGAAGCAGCAACGCCGCGUGAGGGACGAAGGGCUUUUGCUUGUAAACCUCUGUAGUGAGAGAAAAAAAUCCCAAUCUGUGGGACAUGAUGGUAUCUAAAAAGUAAGCCCCGGCUAACUACGUG